rnacentral:rRNA from 1 species
UACAGAGGUCCCAAGCGUUGUUCGGAUUCACUGGGCGUAAAGGGUGCGUAGGUGGCCAGGUAAGUUUGAUGUGAAAGCUCGGAGCUUAACUCCGAAAUGGCAUUGAAUACUAUCUGGCUUGAGGGUCGGAGGGGAGACUGGAAUUCUCGGUGUAGCAGUGAAAUGCGUAGAUAUCGAGAGGAACACCAGUGGCGAAGGCGGCACUCUGGGCCGGUACUGACGCUGAGGAGCGAAAGCGUGGGGAGCAAACAGG